CCUACGGGUGGCAGCAGUGGGGAAUAUUGCACAAUGGGGGAAACUCUGAUGCAGCGACGCCGCGUGAGUGAAGAAGUAAUUCUUUAUGUAAAGCUCUAUCAGCAGGGAAGAAAAUGACGGUACCUGAGUAAGAAUCCCCGGCUAACUACGUGCCAGCAGCCGCGGUAAUACGUAGGGGGCAAGCGUUAUCCGGAUUUACUGGGUGUAACGGGAGCGUAGACGGCAGUGCAAGUCUGGAGUGAAAGGCGGGGGCUCAACCCCCGGACUGCUCUGGAAACUGCAGGGCUGGAGGGCGGGAGGGGCAGGCGGAAUUCCUGGUGUAGCGGUGAAAUGCGUAGAUAUCAGGAGGAACACCGGCGGCGAAGGCGGCCUGCUGGACUGCGACUGACGUUGAGGCUCGAAAGCGUGGGGAGCGAACAGGAUUAGAUACCCGGGUAGUC
rnacentral:rRNA from 1 species